rnacentral:pre_miRNA from 1 species
AGAUGAUGAUGAUGAUGAUGAUCAUGAUGAUGUUGAUGAUGAUGAUCAUGAUCAUGAUCAUGAUGA